UGAGUAAUAGUUCAGUGGUAGAGCCCAUGCUUAGUGUGCUUGAGGUCCUGGGUUCAAUCUCCAGUACCUCCA
rnacentral:tRNA from 1 species